ACUGGAGUUUGAUCCUGGCUCAGGAUGAACGCUGGCGGCGUGCUUAACACAUGCAAGUCGAACGAGGUCCAUGGAGCUUGCUCCGGAAGACCUAGUGGCGAACGGGUGCGUAACACGUGAGAAACCUGCCCCGAUCUCUGGGAUAACAGUUGGAAACGACUGCUAAUACCGGAUGCCGUCACACCGCUUCAUGGCGGAGUGCCGAAAGAUUCAUCGGAUCGGGAGGGUCUCGCGGCCUAUCAGCUAGUUGGAGAGGUAACGGCUCACCAAGGCAUCGACGGGUAGCUGGUCUGAGAGGAUGAUCAGCCACACUGGGACUGAGACACGGCCCAGACUCCGUACGGGAGCAGCAGUGGGGGAAUC
rnacentral:rRNA from 1 species